GGAUGCGAUCAUACCAGCACUAAAGCACCGGAUCCCAUCAGAACUCCGAAGUUAAGCGUGCUUGGGCGGGAGUAGUACUAGGAUAGGUGACCUCCUGGGAAGUCCUCGUGUUGCAUUCCC
rnacentral:rRNA from 1 species